AUGAAAUGCGGUAGAUUUUGCGACAUUUGUCUUGGAACCAUGGUCUGAAACAUUCAGAGAAUUAUGGAAAGCCGGGAAUUUCCCCUCUCUGAACAGUGUUGAUUCCUCAGUGACCAUAAAUGACUUUGAAAGGAAGAGUAAUCCUCACCAACUAGGACGGGGAAAUCUCCAAUGGACACUUUGCACAGUGAAGAUUAGGAAUGGCUGGCACGGUUGGCUGCAGUGAAAUAAGACAGAGCUGCACAAGCUGCACAGGAAACAAAAGUCUGCAUUUCUGGAGACACCGUGGAAACUGGUCAGAGAGCUUUAACUCA